rnacentral:rRNA from 1 species
UACGUAGGGGGCGAGCGUUGUCCGGAGUUACUGGGCGUAAAGGGCAUGCAGGCGGUCCGACACGUUUUGUGUGACAGCGGGUGGCUUAACUACCCGAGGAUACGAAAGACGGUAGGGCUUGAGGACUCGAGAGGGACACGGAAUUCCGGGUGGAGUGGUGAAAUGCGUAGAGAUCCGGAGGAACACCGAAGGCGAAGGCAGUGUCCUGGCGAGUGACUGACGCUGAGGUGCGAAAGCCAGGGGAGCGAACGGG